rnacentral:lncRNA from 1 species
AAGCCAUCCACCACCACCCCAUCCAUGGAAAAAAUGUCUUCCAUGAAACCAGUCCCUGCUGCCAAAAAGAUUGGGGAACUGUGGUGUAUAGUCAUCAGAUCAGGGUAAUCAGCAUAUCUGUCAGCUCAAACAUGUAUUAUUUCUUUGUGUUGGGAAUGUUCGCUAUUCUCCUUCUAGCUGUUUGAAAGUACAGAGCAUUGUUAGCGAUAGUCACCCUAUAGUACUAUGGGACAAAAGAACUUAUUCCUCCUAUCUAGCUGUGAUUUUGAAUCCUUUAAUAAAUCUCUCCCUAAUCCUCUUUUCCCCAUUCUUCUCAGCCCUGAGUAUCCUUUGUUCUACUUUUUACAUCUAUGCGAUCAACCUUUUUAAAGCUUCCAUACAUGAGUAUGAACACGCCAUGUAAAAAGGGGAAA